GGAGCGCGCGCAGAGGCUGGGAGUUCGGUUGAAGCGGCGGUUCAAUGCGGAAGUGGAGGGGUGCAGCGCCCAGGCGGCCCCGGAAUCCCGCGGCUGAAUAGGAAAGGUGGCCUAGGAGGGAAGGUUUAGAGUAGGGCGCACUGACACGUCGCCAACACUUCCGGUGCUCCAGAUCUUGGGACCGAAUAGGCUCCGGAGGGGGCGUUGCCGACUUUCCCGCCCCCUCUUCCUCUCUCAGGGAGAGGCGUGAAUAUAAUAAGCUCUAGUAGGAGAAGCAGCGCACAUUCUCCCGACCUGAGUCUCAGUCUUUUUCUCCUCGUGAGGCAGAGAACCCCCCCUCCCCUACAGAGGCCACAAGCACGGGUCUUCAGGGCACGAGUCCCACGAGGACGGCACCCCGCCCCCACCCCUUAGCGGGCUCAGAGCCUGUGGUAGCGUCCAGGCAGCCGUCCAAUCAGAAGGCUCCAGCGCAGCGGAAAUGCGUGGCCUUGUGGGGGAGGGGCUCCAGGCUACCCGUGUAUCCAUGGCGACGACCUGCGGCCGCCCCUACCAGUUCGGGGCGGGAUUGGGGUUUCCCCCGCGCUAGCGUUAGGAGUCCAGCUCGGCGCUCCGUUAGGAGUUCGUCUGGAGGUUCCCGCGCGACCGAGCUGCUUCUCUGCUCUUUAGUAGAUCACCCAGCACCUCCCUACACUAGCGAUCCCUGCUCUGUGGUCGCUGUCCCAACUCCCACUUUUCAGACAGAAACUGAGGCCCAGAGACGGUCUUAGUGUUGGCCAAACGGUCACACCGCAAGUUUAGGGCACAGCCAAGGCAAAUUCCACGAGUAUUUUUUUGAGACCAUCCUUACUAUGGUUGGCAGAUUUAGCAGAUAAAAUACAGGAAGCCCAGUUCAACUUGAAUUUCAGAUAAACAAAUGGGACAUACUUAUACGAAAAAAUAAUUCAUGUUUUGUUCAAAAAUCCAAAUUUAACUGGGCUCUUUGCAUUUUACCCAACAGCCCUACCUACUGCGUGCCAGGCACUGAGCUUCACUCAGCCUUGAACAAAAAUACGCCCAGGGUCCUGAGUGAGAAUUGCAGACUCUGAAUUUUAAUUGUUUAGUUAGAACAGAGAGAAAGGAACAAAAUGAGAUAACCAAAAUGGAGAAUAUCAGGGGCGAUUUAAAUGCCCCAUGAAUCCUUCUCUGGCCCUAGGAUCAGACCCUAUAGGGGCACCUCUGGAGUCCUGCACUAGGCUGUCUUAUCCUACUCUCUACUCUCUGAAAACUCAUCUUUGGAGGAACCUGCUAAGUCAGCACUUGAAUAGCCCUCAGAGCAAGGAUAUGGUGCAAAUGGGGAUCACAGAAAUGAAAACACAUGUUCACGCAAAAACUCGUACUCAAAUGUUCACAGCAGCAAGAGUGGAAGCAACCCAAAAGUCCAUCAGCUGAGGAUAAACACAAUGUGGUGUACCUAUACGAUAAACUAUUGUUGAGCCAGAAAAAGUAAUAAAGUACUGAUGUACACUAUGACGCGGAUGAGCCUUGAAAACAUUAUCCUAAGUGAAAGAAGCUAGACAUAAAAGGCCACACGUUGUAUUACUGAUUUACAUAAAAUGUUCAGAACAGAGGAAAGAUACGCUUUUUGUGGAAAAUAUAGACAACUCAGAAGAGAAUGUCAAAAAAGGAGGAGGGAAGAACCAAAGGGAAUCAGAGUUCAAAAGUGGAAAAUGGAGCAGCUGCUGGAGGAUAUGAGUCAUAGAGAAGAAGCCAGGCAGCACUGGAGUUGCCUAGGAUGUAACAGAAAAAGCAAGCGCCUUCCCAUCUGGGUGGCCUUGGGCAAGUCGCUUCCCUUCGGCAUCUGGGUUUCCUCCUCUGUAAAUGAGCCCCUAGGAUUGGAAUGAAGAUUAUAGGAAGCCGACUUUGAGAGAGUGCCUGCCAUGGCCAUCGUCGUAAACUCUCCAAAUA